rnacentral:rRNA from 1 species
GCAUAUCAAUAAGCGGAGGAAAAGAAACUAACAAGGAUUCCCCUAGUAACGGCGAGUGAAGCGGGAAGAGCUCAAAUUUGUAAUCUGGCGCCUUCGGCGUCCGAGUUGUAAUCUCGAGAAGUGUUUUCCGCGCUGGACCGCAUACAAGUCUGUUGGAAUACAGCGUCAUGGUGGGUGAGAACCCCGUAACUGAUGCGGAUGCCCAGUGCUUUGUGAUACACUUUCGAAGAGUCGAGUUGUUUGGGAAUGCAGCUCAAAGUGGGUGGUAAAUUCCAUCUAAAGCUAAAUAUUGGCGAGAGACCGAUAGCGAACAAGUACCGUGAGGGAAAGAUGAAAAGCACUUUGGAAAGAGAGUUAACAGUACGUGAAAUUGUUGGAAGGGAAACGCUUGAAGUCAGACUUGCUAUUUGGAGUUCAGCCGCAAGGUGUAUUCUUCAGUUGGCAGGCCAGCAUCAGUUUUUGGGGGUGGAAAAGGGUUUGGAGAAGGUAGCAGUCUCGGCUGUGUUAUAGCUCCUUGCUGGAUUCACCCUUGGGGAUUGAGGAACGCAGCGCGCUUUUUGCAAGGUCUUCGGGCUUUUCGCGCUUAGGAUGCUGGUGGAAUGGCUUUAAACGACCCGUCUUGAAACACGGACCAAGGAGUCUAACAUGCUUGCGAGUAUUUGGGUGUCAAACCCGGAUGCGCAAUGAAAGUGAAUGUAGGUGGGAUCCGCAAGGUGCACCAUCGACCGAUCCGGAUUUUCUAAGAUGGAUUUGAGUAAGAGCAAUUAUGUUGGGACCCGAAAGAUGGUGAACUAUGCCUGAAUAGGGCGAAGCCAGAGGAAACUCUGGUGGAGGCUCGUAGCGGUUCUGACGUGCAAAUCGAUCGUCAAAUUUGGGUAUAGGGGCGAAAGACUAAUCGAACCAUCUAGUAGCUGGUUCCUGCCGA